AUUGAACGCUGGCGGCAGGCCUAACACAUGCAAGUCGAACGAGUGGCGGACGGGUGAGUAAUGUCUGGGAAACUGCCUGAUGGAGGGGGAUAACUACUGGAAACGGUAGCUAAUACCGCCUACCAUCGGAUGUGCCCAGAUGGGAUUAGCUAGUAGGUGGGGUAAAGGCUCACCUAGGCGACGAUCCCUAGCUGGUCUGAGAGGAGGACCGGCCAUGCUGGAACUGAGACACGGUCCAGACUCCUACGGGGGGCAGAAGGGGGGAAUAUUGCACAAUGGGCGCAAGCCGGAUGCAGCAAUGCCGGGUGUAUGAAGAGGGCCUUCGGGUUGUAAAGUACUUUCAGCGGGGAGGCGUUACCCGCAGAAGAAGCACCGGCUAACUCCGUGCCAGCAGCCGCGGUAAUUC
rnacentral:rRNA from 1 species